AACGAACGCUGGCGGCAGGCCUAACACAUGCAAGUCGAGCGAGGACUUCGGUUCUAGCGGCGGACGGGUGAGUAACGCGUGGGAAUGUGCCCUUCUCUACGGAAUAGCCCUGGGAAACUGGGAGUAAUACCGUAUACGCCCUAUUGGGGAAAGAUUUAUCGGAGAAGGAUCAGCCCGCGUUGGAUUAGGUAGUUGGUGGGGUAAUGGCCUACCAAGCCGACGAUCCAUAGCUGGUUUGAGAGGAUGAUCAGCCACACUGGGACUGAGACACGGCCCAGACUCCUACGGGAGGCAGCAGUGGGGAAUCUUAGACAAUGAGGGCAACCCUGAUCUAGCCAUGCCGCGUGAGUGAUGAAGGCCUUAGGGUUGUAAAGCUCUUUCAGCUGGGAAGAUAAUGACGGUACCAGCAGAAGAAGCCCCGGCUAACUCCGUG
rnacentral:rRNA from 1 species